GCCAGUUGUUUAUGGGUAUCAAUUCAUUAAAGGGCUCUGGUGCCAUCCAUAUACGAGUGACUGUGAGAAACUCACACUCUGCGGAGAAACAUUCAUUUUUCUCGACUGUUUUUCUACCGCAAAUAAACGUCUGGCAGAAACCCCGUGGACCAGGAAUCCCACCCGCGCACUCAGAAAGUGACAGAGACCCAGCUCCGCGUCCUCGACUGCUGCCACGGUGACCGGCAGCGUCCCGCGGCAGGUGGAGGUCGGAAGGACGGGGACCCCUCCCUCCGGGUCCGGGGCCCGGCGGUUGGGGUCCCCGCUCCGGCGGCCGGGACCCGGGGACGGCUGGGCCGGCAAGCGGCGUGGCCGUUGGGACUCCAGCUCCCGGCAGGCACCGCUUCGGGACCGACGCGCG
rnacentral:lncRNA from 1 species